rnacentral:rRNA from 1 species
AUAAUCCCUGCGGGGGAAAGAUUUAUCACUAUUAGAUGAGCCUAUGUUAGAUUAGCUAGUUGGUAGGGUAAAGGCCUACCAAGGCGAUGAUCUAUAGCUGGUCUGAGAGGAUGAUCAGCCACACUGGAAUUGAGAUACGGUCCAGACUCCUACGGGAGGCAGCAGUGGGGAAUAUUGGACAAUGGGCGCAAGCCUGAUCCAGCUAUGCCGCGUGAGUGAGGAAGGCCUUAGGGUUGUAAAACUCUUUCAGUAGGGAAGAUAAUGACGGUACCUACAGAAGAAGUCCUGGCAAACUCCGUGCCAGCAGCCGCGGUAAUACGGAGGGGGCAAGCGUUGUUCGGAAUUAUUGGGCGUAAAGGGCAUGUAGGCGGUUCGGUAAGUUAAAGGUGAAAUGCCAGGGCUUAACCCUGGAGCUGCUUUUAAUACUGCCA